CAGUCGCCACGGUAAUGCGGAGGGUGCAAGCGUUAAUCGGAAUUACUGGGCGUAAAGCGUGCGUAGGCGGUUCGUUAAGUCUGUUGCGAAAGCCCCGGGCUCAACCUGGGAAUGGCAAUGGAUACUGGCUCGCUAGAGUGUGUCAGAGGAUGGUGGAAUUCCCGGUGUAGCGGUGAAAUGCGUAGAGAUCGGGAGGAACAUCAGUGGCGAAGGCGGCCAUCUGGGACAACACUGACGCUGAGGCACGAAAGCGUGGGGAGCAAACAGGAUUAGAUACCCCAGUAGUCCCUGUCUCUUAUAC
rnacentral:rRNA from 1 species